AUUGAACGCUGGCGGCAUGCUUUACACAUGCAAGUCGAACGGUAACAGGUUAAGCUGACGAGUGGCGAACGGGUGAGUAAUGCAUCGGAACGUGCCCGGUCGUGGGGGAUAACGCAGCGAAAGCUGCGCUAAUACCGCAUACGAUCUGAGGAUGAAAGCGGGGGACCGUAAGGCCUCGCGCGAUCGGAGCGGCCGAUGUCAGAUUAGGUAGUUGGUGGGGUAAAGGCUCACCAAGCCGACGAUCUGUUGCUGGUCUGAGAGGACGACCAGCCACACUGGGACUGAGACGCGGCCCAGACUCCUACGGGAGGCAGCAGUGGGGAAUGUUGGGCAAUGGGCGCAAGCCUGAUCCAGCAAUGCCGCGUGCAGGAAGAAGGCCUUCGGGUUGUAAACUGCUUUUGUACGGGGCGAAAAGGCUCUCUCUAAUACAGGGGGCUCAUGACGGUACCGUAAGAAUAAGCACCGGCUAACUACGUGCCAGCCGCCGCCGUAA
rnacentral:rRNA from 1 species